AUAAUUUACGGAUUUCAGAAAUGAAUAUGUAAUUAAAAUAUAAUUAUUUUAUUUCAUUUUGAAUACUUUUAAUGAUUUACGAAAUCAAAAUGUAUAUUUGAAUUUUCCGUUAAAACGAUUUCGAAUUACGAAACCACGUUCUAUUGAAAUUAGAAAGCAAUACUAAACAUUGUGGAUUCAUCAACCUAAAUCCUACUCCUAGCCCAAUUGGGCAAAGCCCAAACCAAUAAACCCAACUAAAUACUCCCUCCUCUUCUCUACUCUUACGUGAAACCAAAAGAAGAAAAAAAAGAAAAAAAAAAGAGAAACCCUCCUUCAAUUCACGCACAACUCAGCCAUCUCUCCUUCCUCCCCUCCACGCCGUCGCCCACUGCCGGACCACCACCUGCACCGACGACCACCGUCGACCCUCGUGCACCACCUUUGCGCCUAGCCGCGCCGCUGAGCCACCGCCUUCGCCGCCGCCUCCGCGAGUCUCUUCGCCACCCGCACAACACCACCUUCGUCAGCUCAAUCGACCGUCGCUGCCGCGCCGCAAAGUCUACCGCCGGCCAGCCUCCUCCUCAUUCUCUCCUUGUGGUGGAGAAUUCUCCGUAGGCGACUUCUGAAUUAUUAAAGUGGUCUUGCAGUUUGUUUACACAAGGUACGUACAUACCUGUGUGCUUGGAAUGUGUGCUAAUUGUUGAAACCAUGUUGAAUCUUGUUGUUGAACUUGGUUAUGUUGAUAUUAUUGUUGAACUUGGUGAUGUUGAUAUUAUGGACGAACUGGGUUAUAUUGAAUGUGCAUGUUUAAUACUGUUGGACAAACUUAUUGAACUUAUUUUGCACUAUGAGAACUGUAACAUGUUAGUAUGGAUGAUUGAUACAAACAUGUUGGUUGGGAACACUAGAUUAUUCUAUAUGAUUGGUUUGGAUCGAUUGGUUGUUGUUCCCUUUCUAUCUUUUCACUACUUUAUGAGGGCGGAGGACCUUGUUUAGUAAGUUGAAACUUUAUGCCCAUAUACAGGGUUGCUCAUGGUUAAAGGAAAGGUUGGUUAAGUUGGAAUGAGUCUUGAUUGAUGCUUUUAUGAUCACUUACUUAAUUCCAAGAUAAAAACAGUUGUGAACAAAUGUGAAUUGUCUGUCUUAU